GAUGAACGCUGGCGGCGUGCCUAAUACAUGCAAGUCGAGCGAACGGACGAGGAGCUUGCUUCUCUGAUGUUAGCGGCGGACGGGUGAGUAACACGUGGAUAACCUACCUAUAAGACUGGGAUAACUUCGGGAAACCGGAGCUAAUACCGGGUAAUAUUUUGAACCGCAUGGUUCAAUAGUGAAAUACGGUUUUGCUGUCACUUAUAGAUGGAUCCGCGCUGCAUUAGCUAGUUGGUAAGGUAACGGCUUACCAAGGCAACGAUGCCUAGCCGACCUGAGAGGGUGAUCGGCCACACGGGAACUGAGACACGGUCCAGACUCCUACGGGAGGCAGCAGUAGGGAAUCUUCCGCAAUGGGCGAAAGCCUGACGGAGCAACGCCGCGUGAGUGAUGAAGGUCUCCGGAUCGUAAAACUCUGUUAUUAGGGAAGAACACAUGUGUAAGUAACUCUGCACAUCUUGACGGUACCUAAACAGAAAGCCACGGCUAACUACGUG
rnacentral:rRNA from 1 species